CUGAGCGGGCACCUGUCUCCUCUCUCUGAUACUCUCCUCCUUCACUUUGGACAUGGACACCUAAUUCCGGUGUUUCCCGUCUCGGCAACUUGGAGAGAGUCGCUCAGGUUUCCUCGGAGAGGCGGUGACGCAGCUUACAAUGACGCAGCAGCGGCGAGCGGGGUGGAGAUCUGAGGUGGGACCAGAACUGAUGACUUCUCACUUCUGACAUACAGGAGGGAACUGUGGUUGCCAUGUCCGAUAAUUAUAAGCGACUUUGGACAUGUUUUAGGCUGUAAAUACGCUUAGAAAUAUCGAUACCCUCGCGUCGCGACUGUUAGAGUUAGCUAAUGUGUCAUAUGUGUAAAAGUGUCGUUGGUUCUUAGGAUUAACUAAAAUGCAUAUUUAAUGCGCUUAAAGUACACACAAGUAACAUCACAAUAGUACAUUUAUUUAGCUAGAUAUCUGGGAUAAUUAUCUAAGCAAUAUCGGGCACGUAUUGUGUAACAUGCAGAAAACUGUAUUACAAAGACUAAAGUUUUAAAAGUCUUUCACAAUUUUAAAACAUUAAAACAACAUUUUAAGUGUGAAAUAAAAGCAUUUCGUGUAUAUCCUGUUUAGGUGGAUUAAAACAACAGUAUUCUCUAAAAUUGUUUUCCAUUAAAUGCUAUGUAUCGAAGUAUGUUGAUUUAGCAGGUGUGGUGGUAUUUCGAGCGCUUCUGUUGAGCUUAUCUUUGUGGACCUGGUUGCUUGUUUUCUGCCACACAAUCUGGCAACGCUGAAGCAAAUACGUCAAAGUGUUUAACGCGGAUGUGAGGCAGGCGCAUCCCGCCUCCAAACUUAACACUGGAGAAUAACGUCGCUAUCAUCAUUUGAAGAGGUUUCUUUAGAGGAACAACAUAAACAAACAACUGUUGAUUUAAAAAAAAAGAAGAAGGCUUGUGGUUUCACCAUGCAGUUUUCAGUCAAUAUUUAGUGUAUUUCAGCGUCAAACGUGUUAGUCAUCUCCCUGGCCGAUGGGGGGUGCUAAGUGUUCCUUUCGCUAUGAGUUAAUUUCCAGGUAUAAGAUUAUUGUUUUACAUAAAUCUAGUCAUGACCCAAAAUAAUUUCCUAGUGAACAAGUAAACUUUGAAAGCUAGUUAUUGUCAAUUGGAAGUAAAGAAAAAACAUGCACGUCAAAUUGUUCUGUUAGCUGUUUCUGUCUUCUUGGUACAAAUACGUGUGCAAAGGAACAUUGGAGGAAUUGUACCUGUACCUGUCAGAGUUGUUUGGCAUAAAAUAAAAAAGGGUGUGUGCACGUGCCUGAUCAUUCA